rnacentral:rRNA from 1 species
AUUGAACGCUGGCGGCAUGCUUUACACAUGCAAGUCGAACGGCAGCGCGGGCUUCGGCCUGGCGGCGAGUGGCGAACGGGUGAGUAAUACAUCGGAACGUGCCCAGUAGUGGGGGAUAGCUCGGCGAAAGCCGGAUUAAUACCGCAUACGACCUGAGGGUGAAAGCGGGGGAUCUUCGGACCUCGCGCUAUUGGAGCGGCCGAUGGCAGAUUAGCUAGUUGGUGGGGUAAAGGCCUACCAAAGCGACGAUCUGUAGCUGGUCUGAGAGGACGACCAGCCACACUGGGACUGAGACACGGCCCAGACUCCUACGGGAGGAAGCAGUGGGGAAUUUUGGACAAUGGGCGAAAGCCUGAUCCAGCAAUGCCGCGUGUGUGAUGAAGGCCUUCGGGUUGGAAAACACUUUUGGCGGGAACGAAAAGGAAUGUGCCAAUACCACGGUUCGAUGACGGUACCCGCAGAAUAAGCACCGGCUAACUACGUG